rnacentral:rRNA from 1 species
GACAGAGGCCUCGAGCGUUAGGCGGAAUCACUGGGCUUAAAGCGUGUGUAGGCGGGCCCGUAAGUGUCUUGUGAAAUCCCACGGCUCAACCGUGGAACUGCUGGGCAUACUGCGGGUCUUGGGCCAACUAGGGGCAGCCGGAACAAGCGGUGGAGCGGUGAAAUGCGUAGAUAUCGCUUGGAACGCCGAAGGUGAAAACAGGCUGCUGGGGUUGCGCCGACGCUGAGGCGCGAAAGCUAGGGGAGCAAACGGG